CAUGGGUCACUCAUCACUCAGUCGUGAAUGAGCACCCAAAAAGCUAGAGACAGUGUAGUGCCGAAAUCUCCCUGUUCUAUGUUUAAUAUAACACACAUACAUUAUUCAUUUUGGUUGCCUAUCCUGACGUGAAGUUUGUUCUAUAGGAAGUAUUUGACUCUGAUGUGUGACACAGAAAGUAUUUGACUCCAGCCACAAAAUUAAGGAAAUUAGAAGAUUCUGGAAGGGGGGAGAUUUUCGGCACAAGACCGGCCCUGGUACCGUUGAUGACAGACUGCAGCCUGCUCUAAAGCAGAACUCCCCAGGUGAGAUUACAGCUCAGUGGGGCAGCUGUUUCCAUUCCUGACACCUUUUAUUCAGGUAAUGCGGUUAAGUUAUUUACAGGCACGCAUGCAGCAUAAAUUGCUUUGUUGAUGACCUUUCCUGCAGCUCUCACUGCCCCCUCACCUAGACAGGGUUUUACGAGAUAGAUAGGUCGUAGACACAACACUGAGACCACACAGACCGAUUAAAGUAGCCUAUAAAUGGUCCUACAGCUCCCCAGUCAAAUUAUACUCAUCUGAUAACAAUUUUCAAGACAGAGCUACUGGUCAGCAGCCCAUGGAGCCCUAUACUCUCAUCUUGGCAUGGACAAAGGCAAACUGUUCCUGUUGUCACCUUUUUUCGGAAUGAGCACUAAUGAGUGGAAAGAAGCCCUACUGCUUUCCUUUCACAUGGAUGGAGCUCUCGUCAUGGAUACCAUACACUAAUAUGGAACACACCACACUUGACGUCAUUCUCCAACAACAUGGUCCAGACGAAGCUGAUGGGAUUGGCACUUCAACCUUUUCAGCUCGUUGAGGUGAUUCGGGCAUAUACAGUUACAGUGACCAAUGUUGUCAUAUGAAUGUGGUCUUGACUUGCAUAAUCUUCACAUUCUCUUUCUCUACAAUUGAUCCUCUAGCUAGCCUACUGUUUAAAUGGGGUACAUAGGCUAUGGUUUAUGCAGACAGCAAAAGUACAGACAUAGCAGGCAUUAAAGGAUUAGGAUUCAUUAGCAGAUUAGGAAAGGAAAAGAGCUUAUUAUUACCACAACAAGGCUUUCGGGUUAGAGCCCGGCCCCAUAGGCUCAGCUAUUCCAUCGUCAUAGUAGCAAAUGACUGUAACUAAUUCAUUACUUAGACCAGCUGUUCAAAGUAUUGGCCUACUAGGCUACUGUAUCUCUCUCAUUGUCUUAAGAAUCACAACUCUUUUUUAACAAUGCAAACAAUGCUGUUCUGUAUUAUGAAAUACUUGGCUAUAUGCUGUAUGUUGUCUUUAAUAACAUUAAAAGCUCUAAGAGUUGAAAAGGGUAAAAGGCCCAGUGCAGUCAAAAACAUUAUUUUUGUGUUUUAUUUUUGUGUUUUAUUUCAUAUUACAACAGCUGAUGAAACUAACACUGUAAAAGUAUGAAAAACAUUGUGCAGUGUUAUUUCCUGAUAGUUGCUGGUUGAGAAUACAAUCUACACAGUACCUUCUAAUCAGAAAGUUUGAAUAGUUUUGGCUUUCCAUGGCAUCUAUUAAAUUGGUUAAUAGACUAAUAACAAAAAUAACCUCUCUGCCAGCAAGUUUUCAGUUAGAGUUUUUUGCUAAACAGCUAUUUUGCCUAUUUUAAUGGAAAUCUAUUACAUUGAGGUAGCCUACUUAAUUGUUACCCAGAAAUGAUUUGAUAUUGAUAUAAAAACGUCUGAAUUGG